GAUCCUGGCUCAGAAUCAACGCUGGCGGCGCGCUUAACACAUGCAAGUCGAACGAGAAAGCCCGCAAGGGUGAGUAAAGUGGCGUACGGGUGAGUAACACGUGGGUAAUCUACCUUUUGGUGGGGAAUAACGCUGGGAAACCGGCGCUAAUACCGCAUAAGCUCGAGAGAGGAAAGGAGCAAUUCGCCGAAAGAGGAGCCCGCGGCUGAUUAGCUAGUUGGUGAGGUAAAGGCUCACCAAGGCAAUGAUCGGUAGCCGGCCUGAGAGGGCACACGGCCACACUGGCACUGAAACACGGGCCAGACUCCUACGGGAGGCAGCAGUGGGGAAUCUUGCACAAUGGGGGAAACCCUGAUGCAGCGACGCCGCGUGAGCGAUGAAGCCCUUCGGGGUGUAAAGCUCUUUCGGCAGGGACGAUAAUGACGGUACCUGAAGAAGAAGCUGCGGCUAACUACGUGCCAGCAGCCGCGGUAAUACGUAGGCAGCGAGCGUUGUUCGGAGUUACUGGGCGUAAAGAGUGCGUAGGCGGUUUUCUAAGUUUGGUGUGAAAUCUCCCGGCUUAACUGGGAGGGUGCGCCGAAGACUGGAAGGCUUGAGUAUGGGAGAGGUAAGCGGAAUUCCUGGUGUAGCGGUGAAAUGCGUAGAUAUCAGGAGGAACACCUGCGGUGUAGACGGCUUACUGGACCAUAA
rnacentral:rRNA from 1 species